GCCGGGCGCAGUGGCGGGCGCCUGUAGUCCCAGCUACUCGGGAGGCUGAGGCAGGAGAAUGGCGUGAACCUGGGAGGCGGAGCUUGCAGUGAGCCGAGAUUGUGCCACUGCAAUCCGGCCUGGGCUAAAGAGCGGGACUCCGUCUCAAAAAAAAAAUAAAAAAAUAUAAAGAAAGCCUGACUGAUUGGACAGAUGAAAUCAUUUUCAAAUGAUAGGUUAUAUAAUUUUUUUUCUUUUUUUUUUGAGAUGGAGUCUCGCUCUGUCGCCCAGGCUGGAGUGCAGUGUCGUGAUCUUGGCUCACUGCAAGCUCCGCCUCC
rnacentral:lncRNA from 1 species